rnacentral:rRNA from 1 species
GGGUAAGUAGGUUGGUCGUGCCACCGGUACGUACUGGUCUCACUGAUUCCUCCUUCCUGAAGAACCGUAAUGCCAUUAAUUUGGUGUUGCGGGGAAACAGGACUGUUACUUUGAAAAAAUUAGAGUGUUUAAAGCAAGCUAACGCUUGAAUACAUUAGCAUGGAAUAAUGAAAUAGGACGAUCGAUCCUAUUUUGUUGGCUUCUAGGAUUGACGUA